rnacentral:rRNA from 1 species
AUGAACGCUGGCGGCGUGCCUAAUACAUGCAAGUCGAGCGAACGGACGAGAAGCUUGCUUCUCUGAUGUUAGCGGCGGACGGGUGAGUAACACGUGGAUAACCUACCUAUAAGACUGGGAUAACUUCGGGAAACCGGAGCUAAUACCGGAUAAUCUUUUGAACCGCAUGGUUCAAAAGUGAAAGACGGUCUUGCUGUCACUUAUAGAUGGAUCCGCGCUGCAUUAGCUAGUUGGUAAGGUAACGGCUUACCAAGGCAACGAUGCAUAGCCGACCUGAGAGGGUGAUCGGCCACACUGGAACUGAGACACGGUCCAGACGCCUACGGGAGGCAGCAGUAGGGAAUCUUCCGCAAUGGGCGAAAGCCUGACGGAGCAACGCCGCGUGAGUGAUGAAGGUCUUCGGAUCGUAAAACUCUGUUAUUAGGGAAGAACAUAUGUGUAAGUAACUGUGCACAUCUUGACGGUACCUAAUCAGAAAGCCACGGCUAACUACGUG